rnacentral:tRNA from 1 species
UAGCCUAGUGGUUAAGGCUAUGGAUUGCCAAUCCGGAGACGGCAGGUUCAAUUCCCGU